UAGGGAAUAUUAGAAAUGGACGAAAGUCUGAUCUAGCCAACCCGCGUGUGCGAAGAAGGCCUUCGGGUCGUAAAGCACUUUUUGGAAGGAAUAGGAAGGAAUGUACUUCCAGAAUAAGUCUCGGCUAACUACGUGCCAGCAGCCGCGGUAACACGGAGGAGGCGAACGUUAUCCGGAUUUACUGGGCGUAAAGCGCGUGUAGGUGGUUCUGUAAGUAGGGCGUGAAAGCUCCUGGCUCAACUGGGAGAGGCCGUUCUAAACUACAGAACUAGAGGAUGGUAGAGGGAGGUGGAAUUCCAGGUGUAGCGGUGGAAUGCGCAGAUAUCUGGAGGAACACCAGUGGCGAAGGCGGCCUCCUGGACCAUUCCUGACACUCAGACGCGAAAGCUAGGGUAGCAAACG
rnacentral:rRNA from 1 species